rnacentral:lncRNA from 1 species
AAUAAGCAAGAUAUAUCCACACAAAUGAAAAUUACUCAGCAAUUUAAAUAAUGAGCUCACUGGCAGUGUGAUGAAAACAAGUAAAUGGAUACAUAAACAGAGUUGGCACCUUGACUUACCUUGUGAAUGACGCUCUAUCUGCACAGAUCUCAGGAGCCAUUAUGAUUAACUGACAAUGAAAAGAAAUGUGUAGAGUUCUUUCACUUCCAAUUUUACAAAAACAAGUAGAGAUGGAACACCUAUUCUGCAAUGAAAAUUACAGACAAUUGGUGAUAAAGACUCGUACAAUGGACUGUGAAGCAUUUAAGGUCUAUUCAAGUAUGUGUCUUCUGUUCCUUCUCAUUAAAGAACUAAUGAUA